AUGGCCGUGAAGAAGGACAACAAGGCGGCGGCAUCCUCGUCGGCGGCGAAGCCCGCCAAGGCCGGCAGCGGGAAACAGAAGCAGAAGAAGAAGAAGUGGAGCAAGGGAAAGCAGAAGGAGAAGCUCAACAACGCCGUGCUGUUCGACCAGCCCACCUACGACAAGAUGCUGUCCGAGGCGCCCAAGUACAAGCUCGUCACCCCCUCCGUCCUCUCCGAGCGCCUUAGGAUCAAUGUGUCCCUGGCUAAGAGGGGCAUCAAGGACUUGAUGGCAAGGGGGCUCGUAAGGGGAGUGUCACUUCAUGCCAGCCAGCAGAUUUUCACCAGGGCCACCAAUGUACCAUCGAGUUAG
rnacentral:rRNA from 1 species